GGGGAGAACCGGCUCCCUCAAAUAUUUUAUUGAGGGGGGGGCAUUGAAGGGACCUCAUCCCCCCCCAUGAGUUGCUCUCCCAGCUCGAACCCUGAGAGGAAGACCCACGGCCGAGCCAUCUGGGCAGCGGCUGCGGAAUGCCACUAUUUGGUAGAUAUAGUGUGAAGCUGUUCCCAUGGAAAGAUCACUACCUGCUGAAGGCAUAUGUGUGGAUCUGGCUGCCCACCUUUGCUGUGGGCUAGGAUGGUCCGGCCAUAGAAGCUGAAAGAUCGCUUUGAAUUCCAAAAUGCUGUGAGAAUGAUGCUGCCCCAGAAAGAUGUGAAGCAGGAGGCUAACUGGGGCAAUUGACACUCCCACCUAAACAGCCUGGCUCCCUGCAGUUUGAUGAGGAGUUGAGCAUUUGAUAGAUAUAUCAAUAUAGUUCUGUACUGUGUCUUUUGCACUUAUGUCCUAAAUAAGUUUGGUUCCACUCAGUUUA